rnacentral:lncRNA from 1 species
CAUACUGUGAGAAAACAUUUAGAUACUAUUUGCAACAGGACAAGUUUGUAGAUCUUUUACGUAUAUUUAGCAAAAUUUGAUGUGUGCCUGCAGGUUGUCAGACACCAAGUGAUGUAUGAGCUCCAACAGCACUGCUCUGCAGUUGGUGACCUGCCUGCUCAGGGAGUUCAGGUCCACGGUUGGAUUAACAUCUCAUUCCUUCUGUAUGUCUGGACUGUGUCAGAGUACUGCUGGCCUUCAAUAUCUCCGCAUCUCAAACAAUGCUGGAAAUGAGUUGUACUUCACUACAGAGGCUAAUAGUGUUAUAACAGUAAUCACUUCAAGAAUAGUAUUUACCAUCUACCAAGAGAAAGGUAGGGAUCAAUCUACAUGUGUUCUCUAUCAUGUAUUAAAAAUGUUUAAGGUUGCACACAUUAAAAAAUAA